AUGAACGCUAGCGACAGGCUUAACACAUGCAAGUCGAGGGGCAGCACAGGUAGCAAUACCGGGUGGCGACCGGCGCACGGGUGAGUAACGCGUAUGCAACUUACCUAUCAGAGGGGGAUAACCCGGCGAAAGUCGGACUAAUACCGCAUGAAGCAGGGGCCCCGCAUGGGGAUAUUUGCUAAAGAUUCAUCGCUGAUAGAUAGGCAUGCGUUCCAUUAGGCAGUUGGCGGGGUAACGGCCCACCAAACCGACGAUGGAUAGGGGUUCUGAGAGGAAGGUCCCCCACAUUGGUACUGAGACACGGACCAAACUCCUACGGGAGGCAGCAGUGAGGAAUAUUGGUCAAUGGGCGUAAGCCUGAACCAGCCAAGUCGCGUGAGGGAUGAAGGUUCUAUGGAUCGUAAACCUCUUUUAUAAGGGAAUAAAGUGCGGGACGUGUCCCGUUUUGUAUGUACCUUAUGAAUAAGGAUCGGCUAACUCCGUGCCAGCAGCCGCGGUAAUACGGAGGAUCCGAGCGUUAUCCGGAUUUAUUGGGUUUAAAGGGUGCGUAGGCGGCCUUUUAAGUCAGCGGUGAAAGUCUGUGGCUCAACCAUAGAAUUGCCGUUGAAACUGGGGGGCUUGAGUAUGUUUGAGGCAGGCGGAAUGCGUGGUGUAGCGGUGAAAUGCAUAGAUAUCACGCAGAACCCCGAUUGCGAAGGCAGCCUGCCAAGCCAUUACUGACGCUGAUGCACGAAAGCGUGGGGAUCAAACAGGAUUAGAUACCCUGGUAGUCCACGCAGUAAACGAUGAUCACUAGCUGUUUGCGAUACACUGUAAGCGGCACAGCGAAAGCGUUAAGUGAUCCACCUGGGGAGUACGCCGGCAACGGUGAAACUCAAAGGAAUUGACGGGGGCCCGCACAAGCGGUGGAGUAUGUGGUUUAAUUCGAUGAUACGCGAGGAACCUUACCCGGGUUUGAACGCAUUCGGACCGAGGUGGAAACACCUUUUCUAGCAAUAGCCGUUUGCGAGGUGCUGCAUGGUUGUCGUCAGCUCGUGCCGUGAGGUGUCGGCUUAAGUGCCAUAACGAGCGCAACCCUUGCCACUAGUUACUAACAGGUGAUGCUGAGGACUCUGGUGGGACUGCCAGCGUAAGCUGCGAGGAAGGCGGGGAUGACGUCAAAUCAGCACGGCCCUUACAUCCGGGGCGACACACGUGUUACAAUGGCGUGGACAAAGGGAGGCCACCUGGCGACAGGGAGCGAAUCCCCAAACCACGUCUCAGUUCGGAUCGGAGUCUGCAACCCGACUCCGUGAAGCUGGAUUCGCUAGUAAUCGCGCAUCAGCCAUGGCGCGGUGAAUACGUUCCCGGGCCUUGUACACACCGCCCGUCAAGCCAUGGGAGCCGGGGGUACCUGAAGUCCGUAACCGCGAGGAUCGGCCUAGGGUAAAACUGGUGACUGGGGCU
rnacentral:rRNA from 1 species